AAUAAGUGCAGCCGUGGAUAUCCGUACCCAACGUUUGACCGUCCGUCUUAUUUGAAAAUUUUGUGAAAAAUUUAAAAAUAUUUAAUUACACAUAAAGUACUAUUCAUGUUUUAUCAUCUAUUAGUAAUAAAAAUAUUAAUCAUAAAAACUUUUCAAAUAAAACGAAUGGUCAAACGUUGAACGUGAAUAGUGUAAAACUGUACUUAUU
rnacentral:pre_miRNA from 1 species